GUGCCAGCAGCCGCGGUAAAACGUAGGUUCCGAGCGUUAUCCGGAUUUACUGGGCGUAAAGCGCGUUCAGGCGGUUUGACAAGUCGGGCAUGAAAUCUCUCGGCUCAACCGGGAGAGGUUGUCCGAUACUGUCAGACUUGAGGGCAGUAGAGGGUGGUGGAAUUCCGGGUGUAGUGGUGAAAUGCGUAGAUAUCCGGAGGAACACCAGUGGCGAAAGCGGCCACCUGGACUGUACCUGACGCUCAAACGCGAAAGCUAGGGGAGCGAACGGGAUUAGAAACCCCUGUAGUCC
rnacentral:rRNA from 1 species